CAUAUCUGCGAUUCAUGUUAAUAAAUUUAAAGUAGUGGACUGAUCUCUAUUGAUGAUGUAGCAAUUCUGAGUGAUG